UUUCUCUCUCUUCAAUAAUAUAACUCCCCGCUUCUCUCACUCCUGCAAAACCCUAAUCCAAACACCUCUCUCUCUUCCUCAAGUUCCUCCCUCACCCUCCGAUGAACAGGGCAGCCUACGGCGAUCUCCGGCGAAGGUAGGUGGACGACGGCGAUCUCCGGCGACCAGGUUCCUCUUUCGACACCUGACAAUUGCUGGCGACAACCCAAGAGAUGAGACAGCCGGCCACCCUGUCGUGGUGGGCCGGCGAUAGUGAUGACGGAGACAAGCACACCCACGCGAUUCGAGAAAGAGAGAGACGCGUCGGAGGGGGGCGGGGAUAGAUCGACGGACGGCGGCGUUGGUUCGCCGAUCGGAGCAGCGGCGGAGGUGGGUCGAAGCUCCGGCAGCUGUGUAACCGGGCGGAGGGGGGUGUGGUUUCCAAUAAUGAUGAUGUUUAAUAGAUGAUAACCGAUGAGAUGAUGAAGACAGUAAUGGCACGAAAGUGGUGGUGGUUUCCGUUGGUGGGCAUCCAGGUCAUUUAAUUUUCAUCCAUCCCUAUUGUCUACUGUCGUAUUUUUGGAAUUGCCACUGAAGCUUUGUACUACAGUUAAUUAAAGUCAUCCAAAUGUAGUCUUGUUUUUUUUUAAUUAUUUUUUCAUCAGACACUUUCCAUAUGCCAGUUAGUAUAAAUAUUAAUGUGAAGAAAAUUUGGUUGCUUCAUA